GGGAAGAUCUCCUAUUUUGAAGGCGUCUUGCAGGAUGGAGGGAUCGAAGAAGAAAACCAAUAUAAAAAGAUAUUUGCCCUUACAGUGUUAAAAGGCCAAUGGUGUGGAGUGAUCAACACAAUAUGUUAUUGCAAGAAAUUUAUUU
rnacentral:misc_RNA from 1 species